CAAUAGCGUAUAUUAAAGUUGUUGCAGUUAAAAAGCUCGUGGUUGGAUUUCUGAGAGAUAUGCUGUAGCCCUCUUUUGGUGCUCGCCGUCUCUCAUCCUUCUGUUAACGUUUCUUGGUAUUUGGUUACUGGUUUCGGGCUCAGAUAUUUUACCUUGAGAAAAUUAGAGUGUUCCAGGCAGGCUUGCGCCGGAAUACAUUAGCAUGGAAUAAUAGAAAAGGACUUGGGUCUCCUUUGUUGGUUUGAGGGACUCUAGUAAUGAUUAAUAGGGAUAGUUGGGGGCAUUAGUAUUUAAUUGUCAGAGGUGAAAUUCUCGGAUUUGUUAAAGACGGACUACUGCGAAAGCAUUUGCCAAGGAUGUUUUCAUUGA
rnacentral:rRNA from 1 species